rnacentral:rRNA from 1 species
UACGUAGGGUGCAAGCGUUGUCCGGAAUUAUUGGGCUUAAAGAGCUCGUAGGCGGUUUGUCGCGUCGGCUGUGAAAGCCCGGAGCUCAACUCCGGGUCUGCAGUCGAUACGGGCAGACUUGAGUGUUGCAGGGGAGACUGGAAUUCCUGGUGUAGCGGUGAAAUGCGCAGAUAUCAGGAGGAACACCGGUGGCGAAGGCGGGUCUCUGGGCAACAACUGACGCUGGAGGAGCGAAAGCGUGGGGAGCGAACAGG